rnacentral:rRNA from 1 species
CCUACGGGAGGCAGCAGUGGGGAAUAUUGCACAAUGGGGGAAACUCUGAUCCAGCAAAGCCGCGUGAGUGAAGAAGUAUUUCGGUAUGUAAAGCUCUAUCAGCAGGGAAGAAGAUGACGGUACCUGAGUAAGAAGCCCCGGCUAACUACGUGCCAGCAGCCGCGGUAAUACGUAGGGGGCAAGCGUUAUCCGGAUUUACUGGGUGUAAAGGGAGCGUAGACGGUGGGGCAAGUCUGAAGUGAAAGCCCGGGGCUCAACCCCGGGACUGCUUUGGAAACUGCGUGGCUGGAGUGCUGGAGAGGCAAGCGGAAUUCCUAGUGUAGCGGUGAAAUGCGUAGAUAUUAGGAAGAACACCAGUGGCGAAGGCGGCUUACUGGACAGUAACUGACGUUGAGGCUCGAAAGCGUGGGGAGCAAACAGGAUUAGAUACCCCAGUAGUC